rnacentral:rRNA from 1 species
UAAGGAAUAUUGGACAAUGGGCGAAAGCCUGAUCCAGCAAUGCCGCGUGAGUGAUGAAGGCCCUAGGGUUGUAAAGCUCUUUUACCCGGGAUGAUAAUGACAGUACCGGGAGAAUAAGCUCCGGCUAACUUCGUGCCAGCAGCCGCGGUAAUACGAGGGGAGCUAGCGUUGUUCGGAAUUACUGGGCGUAAAGCGCGCGUAGGCGGUUUUUUAAGUCAGAGGUGAAAGCCCGGGGCUCAACCCCGGAAUAGCCUUUGAAACUGGAAAACUAGAAUCUUGGAGAGGUCAGUGGAAUUCCGAGUGUAGAGGUGAAAUUCGUAGAUAUUCGGAAGAACACCAGUGGCGAAGGCGACUGACUGGACAAGUAUUGACGCUGAGGUGCGAAAGCGUGGGGAGCAAACA